UUUGUUUUGUUUCUAUUUAUUGGUUUAGUUUACCGUAUCUGCCGAAAUUACUUUUUAUUUGUUAUCAUCGAAAAAUGUGAUAACAAUAUGAAGGCGGAGAGGUGUACAAACAUAAGCUCAAUUUAGAUACCUUCCCGUGUCGGAUGAUAUUUGGACGUGAUCGAUUUUAGAGUUUCCGAGCUGUGAUCAAAUUCGAAGUGAAGCAAUACAAGCUAAUCCCGAGAAAUCGUAAAUGUCCUUUGAUUUGAGUGUCGCAAAAUUUAGAUGCUGUGAUGGUGUGUUGCUGAUAUUUUUUUUUAAUUCUUUAGCUCGAGUAUUUAGUACAUGUUUCGGUUGGACACUGUUUUGUUUUCGAUGACAACCUACGGACAGGGAUUUUCGGGAUGCAGUUUCUCGUAUGGUUUCGGUUGGACACUUUUGUUUUCAUAAAUCAAUUAUCAAUUCGAUGACAACCUACACCUAUACUUUGGGAUGUCGUUUCUCGUAUGGUUUCGGUUGGACACUUUAGUUUUCAUAAAUCAAUUCGAUGACAACCUACGGACAGGGAAUACUUACCAUUAUGUUGGUUGGCUAAGCAGUUUCUCAACAGGAAUAUUAGAGUCUGAACUCCUAAAAGUCGUUAUUUGUUGUGAUGUAAUUGUGUUUUGUUGAAAAUUAGUGUUUCGUUAAUUGCUCCACUGAAUAGAGAAAUCGGAUAUCGACUAAAAAAUCGUUUAUUUCUUCAUGUUCACAAAGUGAAAAAUUGAUUUUCGUGGGUAUCCCACCAAAUGUUUAUAUGUAAAGCCAAAGCUCAAAAAUUUUUUAUUUAGACGAAUGUCUUGCUGGACUCGUCAUAUUUUCUCAAAUCCAUCUUUCUCUCUCUCCGAGAAUUGGCCAGUUCUUUUAACAUCGCUUCCUUGUAGAAGAAGACAAGUUUUUUUUUCAUUUCGCCUUCAAAGAAUGCAUCAUCUCGUUUCACCUCUACGAUCUGGAAUUGACGUUCUCCUAGCCAGAUCAUUAAAUAUGUCCAUUUUCGUUUGGUGAUAUGUAAAUCACCUUGGAGCUCAAUGUACCACGCACUCUUUUUGUUUAUAGUUUUUUCUCCGGAUUUUACUGUCCAAAAUUGCAAGUUUGCCUCAUCUACUUUUUUUUGGUACUCUUUUAAAGGACACUUGAUGGAGAGGAUGCGAUCAACUCCAACAAGUUUGAAAGGCUUGGCACCGAGGAACGGUAGUUCAUCGUCGAUAAACAUACCACUUUCUUGGAGGAUAAGUUCCGGAAAAACUCGCUCGAAACGUUGGAGCGCCUCGCUCUCUUGGACUCGCUGAUGCCGAUUCUGCGCACUGUUCCCGAACUGGGUGUUCGAGUACAUAAUUUCAGCUGCGAAUGGAAGAACACAAAAAAUUAUUAAAUGCGAAGGAUGACUAGUGGUUUUGACGGGUCGACUGGGCCGCUUUUCAUUUUCGAUUUGCAUUAGACUCAUGAACAUUUUGUAUUGUAAUCAAAAGUGUGCGUUUUUAUGAGAAAAAGUUGUUGAAACGAAUAUAAUCUUG